GAGCAAGACAGAAAACAAGAAAUACAAUUUAAAGAGCCAGGAGAGAUGGUUGAUGGAGCAGUGGAUCCGUUCAGAGAUGGACGUAGAGGAGGUGACCCCACAUCACAUAUAAAAUGGUGCGAACUACGGAGACGAAUAAUGGAAAUAGAUCAACGACGACCUUCAUCUGGACUGGAAUCAGUAAAGAACAUAUCAUUUUUCUAGGCGUUGUCGUAUGUGUUGGUGUUGG